rnacentral:rRNA from 1 species
UACGUAGGGGGCAAGCGUGGUCCGGAAUUAUUGGGCGUAAAGCGCGUGUAGGCGGCCAGAUAAGUCCGCUGUGAAAUCUCGAGGCUCAACUUCGAGCUGUCGGUGGAAACUGUCUGGCUAGAGUCCGGAAGAGGAGAAUGGAAUUCCCGGUGGAGCGGUGAAAUGCGUAGAGAUCGGGAAGAACGCCGGCGGCGAAAGCGAACUCUCUGGUCGGAUC